rnacentral:sRNA from 1 species
AUUGAUUUUGAAUCGUGAUAGGUGAGAACCGAAAGGUUCGACAAAAUCGGCAGUAUCGAUUUUGAACAACGCGAAAGCGUUGGUCCGUAGGACGAGUAAUCCUGCACUAUCCACCA